AUGAAGGAGAGAAAGGGUUUGCAACGACUUACCUAUUGGAGACACUCCGAUGGUGAUUUGAUAGUGACGAAGGUGAGAAGACCAGAGAUGAAGAUUGCUAAGCCCAGAAAGAUUAAAGGUGCAGAAGAUGAUGAUGCUCGAAGGAUUAUGCAGAGUUUGAAAAUUGGAGAAAUAGAUCAAGGUUUGCAAAUUAUUGGCAAGGGUUUUGGAAAUAUCUGUUUUGGUAGACUGUAA